rnacentral:rRNA from 1 species
UACAGAGGUCUCAAGCGUUGUUCGGAUUCAUUGGGCGUAAAGGGUGCGUAGGUGGCGGGGUAAGUCAGGUGUGAAAUCUCGGGGCUCAACCCCGAAACUGCACUUGAUACUGCCUUGCUCGAGUACUGGAGAGGAGAUUGGAAUUUACGGUGUAGCAGUGAAAUGCGUAGAUAUCGGAAGGAACACCAGUGGCGAAGGCGAGUCCCUGGACGAUACCUGACACUGAGGCACGAAAGCUAGGGGAGCAAACAGG